rnacentral:rRNA from 1 species
UACGUAGGGGGCUAGCGUUGCUCGGAAUCACUGGGCGUAAAGCGCACGUAGGCGGCUUUUUAAGUCAGGGGUGAAAUCCUGGAGCUCAACUCCAGAACUGCCUUUGAUACUGGGAAGCUUGAGUCCGGAAGAGGUGAGUGGAACUCCGAGUGUAGAGGUGAAAUUCGUAGAUAUUCGGAAGAACACCAGUGGCGAAGGCGGCUCACUGGUCCGGUACUGACGCUGAGGUGCGAAAGCGUGGGGAGCAAACAGG